GGCUAAGCUAGUUGUCGACUCAGCACAGCUACGCGUUGACCCAGCUUUGACGCGGGCCGCGUAAGCUUUGUGCUUAUACUACGCGGGCCGCGAGAGACCCCGAUUCAGGCACUAUAUAAAGGAGGCAUCGGCUGUCCAUUUCAAUUCGUUCAUUCUUCGAUUCUUUCUCUCAAAUUCUGAUAUAAGGCUUUAUUAAGCGGGUAUUAUACCCCCCUAAUUAGCGAAGCUCUGCCUCGUUGAAGUCACAAAGGAAAGCCCUAUAACAGCAAUGUGAGUAAUCCUUCUUUUUAUGUACUCAUUUUUGUAACUUAGUGUGAAGCCAAUAAAAGCCAGCUGGAGAGCACUGAAGGCUUGGAAGAGUGGCAAUAAAGUUACCUAAAAUAAAAUAGAUGUUUUUACUAAAUAAAAUAGGAUUUAUUCCUAUGAAAAUGUGUGUACCACAAACUUGGGUUUUACCCAUGUGUUUAAUGUUAUAAAAUGUGGUGGUUUACUCUGAUAAAAUAUUUCCUA
rnacentral:lncRNA from 1 species